UGAUUCUCUUCCCUGGGGAGGAGAGCAGAGGCAACCCAUCCCCCACUCCCGCCCCCACACUCCCCUAAGUCCCAAUCCAUUUCCACCUCUGUUUACUGUCCAAAGUCCCGGGCACUGGAGAUGCCACGUUUGGCGUGCUUGGACACACAGACACGCAGACACAGAGACACCGGGGCCCAGGGCCCUCCUAUGGACCCUGCCCGCUCCCACUCCAUCGUCCACGGCUGUCCACCCACCCCCAUUCUCCAAGCUUCAGCCCCCCUCCUUAGUCCGGCUUCUGCACAGCACUGAAGAACCUGGGCCUCAGACCCUGAGACCCCAACUCUAGUCCUGGUGAGCCCCCACCUCAGCCCCAGCCUCAGCCUUGACUCAGUCCCAGCUCCAGCACCAGCCCUAUCAUGACCAAGGAGUAUCAGGACCUGCAGCAUCUGGACAAUGAGGAGAGUGACCACCAUCAGCUCGGAAAAGGGCCACCUCCUCCGCAGUCCCUCCUGCGGCGUCUCUGCUCCGGCCCUCGCCUCCUCCUGCUCUCCCUGGGCCUCAGCCUCCUGCUGCUGGUGGUUGUCUGUGUGAUCGGAUCCCAAAACGCCCAGCUGCAGCGGGAGCUGCGGGGCCUGAGAGAGACGUUCAGCAACUUCACGGCGAGCACCGAGGCCCAGGUCAAGGGCUUGAGCACCCAGGGAGGCAAUGUGGGAAGAAAGAUGAAGUCGCUGGAGUCCCAGCUGGAGAAACAGCAGAAGGACCUGAGUGAAGAUCACUCCAGCCUGCUGCUCCACGUGAAGCAGUUCGUGUCUGACCUGCGGAGCCUGAGCUGUCAGAUGGCGGCGCUCCAGGGCAAUGGCUCAGAAAGGGCCUGCUGCCCAGUCAACUGGGUGGAGCACGAGCGCAGCUGCUACUGGUUCUCUCGCUCCGGGAAGGCCUGGGCCGACGCCGACAACUACUGCCGGCUGGAGGACGCGCACCUGGUGGUGGUCACGUCCUGGGAGGAGCAGAAAUUUGUCCAGCACCACAUAGGUCCUGUGAACACCUGGAUGGGCCUCCACGACCAAAACGGGCCCUGGAAGUGGGUGGACGGGACGGACUACGAGACGGGCUUCAAGAACUGGAGACCGGAGCAGCCGGACGACUGGUACGGCCACGGGCUCGGGGGAGGGGAGGACUGUGCCCACUUCACCGACGACGGCCGCUGGAACGACGACGUCUGCCAGAGGCCCUACCGCUGGGUCUGCGAGACAGAGCUGGACAAGCAAACAGAAGCAGCGUUCACAGACAUAGAAUUGUGAACAAAAAUUGCCGAAGUAUUCACCCAUAAACAAGACCUCAAGUGAUUCCUAAAAGGAACAAUGCUCUGACCACAGUAAAAUAAGGGCUGGAAGCCAGAUGGCAAGGGAGCAAUUUGAUGCAGUCAUACCGCUCAGCCUCCCAGUCCACAGAACAACCUGGAGAAGGAUAGAGAGUGGAUCUGGAAGGACAAAUGGAAGACAUUCAACACAGAAGGAGCCCGAGAUGAAGAAGUCCACAGGAACCCUAUUGGAAAAGUAGCACCAGGUAUAAACAAGCAGUUCACAGGUGAGGAAGCCUGGGGUUCUAAUGCGUCUAUGAAGACAUGCUUACAAUCGCUAGUGACUAACCAGAGAAAUCAAACACGCGUGAGCCAUCUCUUUACACCCAUCCAAUUGACAAACAUUAGGAGGAAGUCAAGUGCUGUCAAGGUUGUGGGAGAAGCUGCUGAUGGGAGGACACAUUGGAAUAGACGUUCUGCAAGAUAUUUAGUGGAAUUAAGAGUGCAUAUUUUCAGGUUGGGUGUGGUGGCUCACGUCUGUAAUCCCAG